AAAUUUCUGCAGUUAACGUCAGGUUUUUAUACUUAACCUACAUUUCUUAAUUGGGAUUUCUAAUACUAAUAUUGAUGUCAAGCUUCCAGUUUUUUAAAGCGAAGUAGGCAGAUAGAUAUUAUGAGGAUUGCCCACCUGUUGGAGAACAGGUCUUAAGUUUAUUAGCCAGCGUCUCUGUGGAUAUAUA
rnacentral:other from 22 species